UACAGAGGUGGCAAGCGUUGUUCGGAAUUACUGGGCGUAAAGGGCGCGUAGGCGGCCUUCUAAGUCAGACGUGAAAUCCCCCGGCUUAACCUGGGAACUGCGUCUGAUACUGGGAGGCUUGAGUAUGGGAGAGGGAUGUAGAAUUCCAGGUGUAGCGGUGAAAUGCGUAGAGAUGUGGAGGAACACCGAUGGCGAAGGCAGCCCCCUGGGUCGAUACUGACGCUCAUGCACGAAAGCGUGGGGAGCAAACAGG
rnacentral:rRNA from 1 species